rnacentral:rRNA from 1 species
ACGGCUCAGUAACACGUGGAUAACCUACCCUUAGGACAGGGAUAAACCCGGGAAACUGGGUAUAAUACCCGAUAGAUCUCGAAUGCUGGAAUGCAUCGAGAUCGAAAGCUCCGGCGCCUAAGGAUGGAUCUGCGGCCUAUCAGGUAGUAGUGGGUGUAGCGUACCUACUAGCCUACGACGGGUACGGGUUGUGAGAGCAAGAGCCCGGAGAUGGAUUCUGAGACACGAAUCCAGGCCCUACGGGGUGCAGCAGGCGCGAAAACUUUACAAUGCCGGCAACGGCGAUAAGGGGACCUCGAGUGCCAGGUUACAAAUCUGGCUGUCGAGAUGCCUAAAAAGCAUUUCAUAGCAAGGGCCGGGCAAGACCGGUGCCAGCCGCCGCGGUAACACCGGCGGCUCGAGUGGUAACCGUUAUUAUUGGGUCUAAAGGGUCUGUAGCCGGCCGGAUAAGUCUCUUGGGAAAUCUGGCAGCUUAACUGUCAGGCUUUCAGGAGAUACUGUCUGGCUCGAGGCCGCGAGAGGUGAGAGGUACUUCAGGGGUAGGGGUGAAAUCUUGUAAUCCUUGAAGGACCACCAGUGGCGAAGGCGUCUCACCAGAACGGACCUGACGGCAAGGGACGAAAGCUAGGGGCACGAACCGGAUUAGAUACCCGGGUAGUCCUAGCCGUAAACGAUACUCGCUAGGUGUCGGCCGCGGUGCGACCGUUGUCGGUGCCGUAGGGAAGCCGUGAAGCGAGCCACCUGGGAAGUACGGCCGCAAGGCUGAAACUUAAAGGAAUUGGCGGGGGAGCAC